UACGUAGGGUGCGAGCGUUGUCCGGAUUUAUUGGGCGUAAAGGGUUCGUAGGCGGUUUGUCGCGUGGGGAGUGAAAGCACCGGGCUUAACUCGGUGCUUGCUUUCGAUACGGGCAGACUGGAGGUAUGCAGGGGAGAACGGAAUUCCUGGUGUAGCGGUGAAAUGCGCAGAUAUCAGGAGGAACACCGGUGGCGAAGGCGGUUCUCUGGGCCUUACCUGACGCUGAGGAGCGAAAGCGUGGGGAGCGAACAGG
rnacentral:rRNA from 1 species